GACGAACGCUGGCGGCGUGCUUAACACAUGCCAGUCGAACGGAAAGGCCCCUUUGGGGGUCCUCGAGUGGCGAACGGGUGAGUAACACGUGAGUAACCUGCCCUUGACUUCGGGAUAACUUCAGGAAACUGGGGCUAAUACCGGAUAGGAAUCCUUGCUGCAUGGUGGGGGUUGGAAAGCUUCGGCGGUUUUGGAUGGACUCGCGGCUUAUCAGCUUGUUGGUGGGGUAGUGGCUUACCAAGGCUUUGACGGGUAGCCGGCCUGAGAGGGCGACCGGCCACAGUGGGACUGAGAUACGGCCCAGACUCCUACGGGAGGCAGCAGUGGGGAAUAUUGCACAAUGGGCGGAAGCCGGAUGCAGCAACGCCGCGGGCGGGAGGACGGCCUUCGGGUUGUAAACCGCGUUCAGCAGGGGCGAAGCUUGUGGUGACGGUACCUGCAGAAGAAGCACCGGCUAACUACGUG
rnacentral:rRNA from 1 species